UGAGGCUAGAAGAAGCUCAGCAUGGUUUUGCUGAAAACAAUUCAAUAGUGGAAAAAUUGGGUUUUGAAAUAGAGACCUUCCUUAAAGCCAAGUGGAUUGCUAAUUCUAAGAUUACUGAUAACAAGUUGCCAAGGGAAUGCCGGAAUUCAAUGGAAUCUGUUCCCCUGAAUGUGGUUGGGAGUGCACCUCAGGAUGUCGGUGAUGAAGAGGAUUCUGCAAGUAGCGAUUCACAUUGUUUUGAGCUUAACAAACCAAGUAAUGUUGAAUUUAACAUGCAUGGAGAUGAUGCUGUAGGUGGACAUAUUGAUGAAACAGUCAAAUCUAGUCAAACAAAAAAGUUUGCAUCUGGUGAG
rnacentral:misc_RNA from 1 species